rnacentral:misc_RNA from 1 species
GUACCUUCAAGCUCUGCUCGGUGUUGGGUGUUUGUUCCGCCGUGUGCGUGAACUCGCCUCAAAUCAAUUGGCAGCCGGCAAUCUGGUGUUUGAGCGCAGCACAUCUUGCGCUCUUCGCGUUAUUGCGGCAUCCAUGAAGCCUACAACUAUGCGC